GCAAAUAACAGUGUUAAAUGUGUCGCUCGGCAUACACCAUAUUUAUAUAGAUCUCAAAACCAAGAUCUAAAUCUAAGACCCGGAAACCCACGAAUCAUAAGCUAAGAAAAAGAAAUACUACAUAGCUCUAACUCCGGAAUUUGUCUAAUAAGAACAGAAAGUACAGAAGGGCUAAAUACUAAAAGGCAAGAAUAGAAAGGGACUCCUUGGUCUGCGGACGCGGCAGAUGUACCUCGAAGUCUCUAAGUAGUCGCUUCCCUCAAGGAUGGUAGACCUGAGUAGAAGUACCUGGAUCUGCACAUGAAAAAUAUACGCAGAAGAGGCAUGAGUACACCAUAGCUGUACUCAGUAAGUGCCAAGCCUAACCUCGGUUGGGUAGUGACGAGAAAGGUCAGGGCCCUACUGAGGUUAAAUACAAUAUAAGGGUUAACAGUGUGGAAUAAAACAAUAUAUAUAAGUGCAACAGUAAGAAAUAACAUAGAAUUAACAGAACAAUAACAACUAGAACAGAGACAAAACAAGCCACGAAAGGAAAUACAGCUCAACACAAAGAUAACAAUCGAGCAUCUCCCAGGAUACCGUCCUGUAGUCCCAAUUACAACUGUCCAGUGGAUCUCCCGGGAUACCAUCCCGUAGUCCAUCAUAUAUAUAUCCGAAGGAUCUCCCGGGAACCCGUCCCGUAGUCCAAGCAUCAGUGCGCGGGGAUCGACCAGAAUUUCUAUCCGUAGUCCCAAAUGUAAAUACCCAAUACUAGGGGAAUCUACUGGGUGCAUUCCCAGAGUUCCAUGUGCAGGGUGAUCUAUCGAGAAUCUAACAUGCAGUCCCAUAGUAAAUAGACAAAAGGGAGCUAUCGGAAUCCCACAUCCGUAGUCCCAAUAAAAAUACACAGCAUCCGCAAGAAAAUAUGUAGAGAAGGGAAAUUUCAUGUUAAGGCAACAAAUAAUUCUAGCCUAGCAUGCUGCACAGAGUUUAGGUAAACAGAUUGAAUAAUUAAAGCAAUUAAAUCACUUAUACAUGUUUUCCUAAGCUAAUAACGGGCUUAAUAGUACAAUUAAUAAAAGUAGGAGAAGGAACAUACUAAUAAAUACUUAAAGAAAAUCAGAUAUCCAAAAAAUUGCAUAAGUACGCACUCGUCACCUCACGUACAUGGCAUUUCAAUUACCACAUAUAUCAAUCCUAAGGGGAAGGUCCCACACACAAGGUUAGACAAGCCACUUACCUCGAACCGGCUCAAAAUCAACCCAACACCAUGUCUUUGCCACGAGUACUCAAUUCCAAAUGGCCCAAAUCUAUUCAAUUCAAUUGCAUAAUGUAAAUAACACUUCAAGUAACUAAUUCUACAAUUAAAUCUAAGCUAAUACCAAAAUUAUAUAAAAUGACCAAAAUGCCCCUCGGGCCAACAUCCUGGAAUCAUGUAAAAUUUACAUUUUUAGAAUCCUCAUACCCUCACGAGUCUAACCAUACCAAAAUUAUCCAAUUCCGAUAACAUUUGGUCCUUCAAAUCAUCUUUUUACAUUUUCGAAAGAUAUCACAAAUUUUCUUCCCAAAUUCCAUCUCAAAUCAAGAAUUAAAUGAUGAAUUCAAUGAUGGAUUCUUGUACUCUAGCCAAUUUGAGUUAAAAUCACUCACCUUGAUGAAUUUCCUGAAAAACCUUCGAAAAAUCGCCAAAAUCCGAGCUCUCUAGGUCAAAAUAUGAAAUAAAACCAGAAACCUCGUACUUAUAGAGCACCCCCCGGAUUUCCACCACUGCGGACCGCACAAAAACGAGUGUUGUCCGCACAGGUUUUGACUGCAGUGACAAGCUUUAGUAUUUUGACCAUAACUUUCUCAACAGAUUUGCAAAUUGUGAUCACUUUAUCUUUCUGGAAACUAGACACGAAGGUCUACAACUUUCAUUUUUGAAUCAUCCCAAAAUUUCUUGUAGAUCAAAAGAUAUGAGCUUCUGAAGUUGGACCAGUGAAAUUUUCCUCAGCGCGGACCGCACUGCAUUUUGUGUGGCUGCACAGCCCCCACCGCGGACGCACUAGAUUUUAUGCGGACCGCACUGGUGGGUUCCGAGACCUGCAACUCUUUUGGACCUGCAACAACUAUAAUUUUCGGCCUAAAACAUCCCGGAACCUACCCGGAACUCACCCGAGUCCCCGAGACUUCAAACCAAUUAUACCAACACAUCCCAUGACAUCGUUCAAAUUUGUUCAAAAUUUAGAAAUGCUCACAAUAACAUCAAAUCACCAAUUUAACAUAGGAUUCAAGCCUAAGAACUCAAAGAACUCUUAACUUAUGCUUCAGAUCAAAAAGUCUAUCAAAUCUCGUCUGAAUGACCUGAAAUUUUGCAAGCACGUCACAUUCAACACUAUGGAACUACUCCAAUUCUCGAUAUUCCAUUCCGUCCCUUAGAUCAAAAUCUCACUAUCGGACCAGAAACUUCAAAAAUGCAACUCUCUCCAUUUCAAGCCUAAAUUAGCUACAGACCUCUAAAACAUAAUCCAAUCACGCCCCUAAGCCCGAAAUCACCCAACAAAGCUAACGGAACCAUAACCCCCAUCUAUUAUGACCCUAGUGAUGAAUUUGUUUACAAAUUAUACUGUUAUAUGCAAUGCCCUAUUGUGACUCAAUCCUUCAGAUAGUAGUUCAUCCUUGUGGAAGGUGAUCUUGUGACUCCUAUGCACCUCAGAAUUUUGUAGUAGCGACAAGAUGUAUAUCUGGGCGGGAUUCCUGUUCAAAUGAUUGAUGAUAGAGUAUUCCCUUGCAUGUACUAUCCUCCAAAACUCAUCUGGACCAGUUUUAAUGACGGGUUGUUUAGUAGUAGCUUCCUUGCUUGUUCCUCCCAAAUUUUCGUGUAUAGAUCCUUCCAGUUCUGGUCAUCCCCUGUGCGGCACCAAAUUCUUCCACCUUUGUUUUUCCCUUUCUCCUAGCUUCGGCAACGUAAUCCCAAGAUAUGAUAUUGGACUUAAAAGGAGGUGUGGUUGCUACUCUCACUGUGAAAGGGUGGUCAUAUCUACCUCAAAUGGAAUAGAUGUGGCUGCAGUUGGGGUUACUUCUACCUCAAAUGGAACUGAUGCGGUUACCUCAACCUCAACUGGCGGCUGUACCUGGACCACAGUAGGAUUGAGCGUGACUGGGGGCUUCUUAGGAUCGUCACCCUCUUUGAUAAGUCCAAUUGAUCCCUCAGAAUCCCACUCCUAGUCAGUUUCUAUCGCAUUGAUCCAUUCGCCCCUAUGAUCUGGAAGAGUAUUAUUGCGAAUGUUAGGUGCAACUUCCUUAACUUGUAUGACCUUAUUAUCAAUCAAUAUCUCGAUCUAUCUUUAUGUUCUACACUCGUCAAUAGUGUGCCCUUUCAUACCGGUAUGAUGAUGAAUUCUCCAUCGCCACAGCAGGAAUAUGGGUGACAUAACCAGUAGCCUCAACCUUUCGUAUAGCUGGUCGAUGGGUUCAGCAAUGGCGGUGUACUGUCUAGGUAGUUUUCAAUCAAAAUUAGGUCUAGUUUUUUGAUAGCUUUGACGGGUUGGAGGCGAAUGGUAAUGGACUAGGUGGGUGUUAUAAGUUUGAUAGGUGGUGGAAGGUUGAGAAUGUCUGGGAGGUGAGGGUUGGUAUGUAGGUGGAGGUGGUUGUUAUGUGAGUGGAGAUUUUAUGCCUUGGGCCACCAUUACUACCCCUACUUCUUUCUUCUUCGAUAUACCACCUGAUUGCAAUGCUUUGUUCGUGGCCUACAGUGCCUCAAAAUUUGUCACCAUCCCGCUUUUAAUACCCUCUUCAAUCCUUUCUGCGAGUUUAAUGAUAUCGGAGAACUUAUGGUUCUCAAUAACCAUUAGCUUUUCAUUAUACUGUGGGUCAUGUGGCCUCCCAAAGAACUUGUUCAUCUGUUCCUUGUCUAAUGUUGGUCUGACCUUGGUUGAUUCCGACUUCUACAAAGUAGCAUAUACGUGGAAAGUCUCAGUUGGCUUCUUUUUUAGGUUCUGGAUUUAGAAGAUAUCUGGUGCAUUCUCCGUAUUAAACCUGAACCCGUCCAUAAAAUCUGAUGUCAUGCUCACCCAACUGGCCCAUUUCUUAGGAUUAUAGCUUAUGUACCAGGACAGGGCAUCUCCGAUAAGACUUCACAUGAAGAGCUUCAUUCGAAUCCUUUCAUAUUUUUCGACACCAACGAGCUUGUCACAAUAAGUUCUUAGAUGAAUGUUGGGAUCACCGGUUCCAUCAAACAUUUCGAACAUGAGAGGUUUGUAACCCUCCGGCUGUUCCAUAUCUAGUUGUACGCAUAAAUCCUCAUAGUUCAGACCAUCUAUACCUUUACCUUGUUCAACACCCUAAACUCGACUUGUCAACUUCUUAAGCUCAUCGGCCAUGUUCUUGAUGGGCAGGUCCUUCUCAGUGGAUUUUGGUGUAUAAGAGUGUCACGCCCAAACCUUGGGAGGCGUGGCUGGCACCCGGUGCCGCACUGGCACGAGAGAAUAACUAUGUAACUUAUUCAUUUCUUUUGUAAAUAUCAUGGGCCAACAUGGCCACAACUCGUAAUGUACAAUUGUAAGUGGGCAAAUGUUAUAUCCAUGAACCUUCGUUCAUAAAACAUGAAUACAUAUGGGUCGUAAAGGCCUCUGACAUACUGUUCAUAAUAAACUAGUGUCUGCAAAGCCUCUAAGAUUAUUCUACAUAAAAUAGGACAGGGUACCAACCUACCCAUAAGUCUAUAGCAAAACUCUGACACGAUGACUCAUAAACUCGGCUGCACUCCGAAUAAAGUGGAGUCUUACCGAUCCUUCGCUGAAGCAAAUCUCGUCAACUAUGAGGGCUCGUCUAACUGAUUAUCUAUACCUGCAAGCAUAGAUGCAGCGUCCCCAACAAAAGGACGUCAGUACGAAUAAUGUACUGAGUAUGUAAGGUUGAACUGGAAUAUAACAAUAAGUCAACAUUAAUUAAUGACAUAUAAGAAUCAACCCGCAUCUCUGAAACGCCACCGUAUAUUCAUACUUGCAUAUACAAUGUUUCGCUUUGAGACUAUUAUUCAUAUCGUAUGAUGCAUUACUGCCCAACUGAUCAGUGGUAACUGCCCGGCCGACCGUAGCGCGGUGGUGAAUAUGUAACUGCCCAACCGGCCAUAGCUCGGUGGUGAAUACGUAACUGCCUAACCGGCCGUAGCUCGAUGGUUAAUAUGUAACUGCCCAACCGUCCGUAACUCGGUGUUAAAUGUGUAACUGCCCAACCGAUCGUAGCUCAGUGGUAAAUUAAUAUGCAUGUCUGCCCAACCAACGGUAAAUAAUGAUACGUAACUGCCUAACCAGUGGUUACUGCCCGACCGGCCAUAGCAUGGUGGUAAAUACAUGAAGAUGCAUGUACAUACAUUACUAUAUUAUAAACAUUAACUUCUCCAUCAUAUACCAUACAUAACUUCAUUCAACAUUUUAGUCAUAUACCUCAAUAGGGACUUAGGAACAUACUUAGACAUGCUUGAAUAUCAUUUUAUAGGAAUGAAUAAUAUAUAUAUAUCCUUAACUACGAAGGGUAGAACCACUUAUGGAAUAGCAAUACGUUUACGUAUCGUUACUUGGAUCACGCCAAAAGAAAGAACGGAUAACUUUAACAUACCUGAGUCGAUUUUCUUGACAAUCCCUCUCCUCGAACUAUUCAAAGACAGUGCAUAUAUUCUUUUGGACAUGGAUAGCAUAGCUCAAACUCUAUCAACUACCUCAAAAGUUGAACCUUACAAAAAGGGAAAACAACAUAAAUGGCGCAAGGACAAUUCCUAACAAAUAUUUAAAAUAAAAAACACAUCUCUCUUACAUGUAAAACAAAGAUACUUAAUAAGAGAAAGAGUUGUAACUAUAAAAGAAACUUGUGGCGUCAUAAUUAACUUCACUUGUAUUUGACAAGAAUAGAAAGAAGAUAAUAUUAGUACUGAGAUGAGGCAAAAUAAGUUUCACGGUUCUUUUUUCAAAGACAAGGCCUCGUUAACAUGAAAAGGAUCUGCAACUCAACAUAAACUCCAUCUUUGGCAACAAGAACCGACUAUAUAUUAUUCUCAGAAGUUUAUCUAGUGCACCAAGUGAUAUCUUUAAGUGAUAAAACAAAUAAACUUCCCAUAACAGUGAAUCAUUUUUACAUCAUUAGUAUCUUCGCAAGCUCGUCCCUAUGCAACACUCUUUCUACUAUAAACAUGUUAUAUGGAUAAUGACAGAGCAGGCACUCUAAUGAAGCUCGUCCCUGUAUAAUCUAUCUCUCGUAUGAAUAAUUUUAAACAGGGAAAUUUAUCUAAGAUCAGUGGCAAAUCAUUACGUCGUUGUCUUUCCACCUAAUUAUAUGUAAACAGCAUGCAACAACUGCCAUUACUUUGGUAAUAAGCAGACACCAUUGAAGAAAAAUGUUUGCUUGCCUUUUUUUCCAAAAACAAAUCUUGGCAAAAAUGCAAAUAAACAUAUUUAACCUCCCCUCCAAGGUAAGGAAAUAUCUUGCAAAAGAUUUUGAAAAACAUUUAUAGGGAUAUUUGAAUAAAUAUUUCAAUACUCUCAUGAAAAAAAACUCCACAUCCUUGAAAUUUCACGUUAUGAAUGAAAAUAAUUCUUAUGUCUAUAAGUCAUAAGGAU
rnacentral:lncRNA from 1 species